UUAGAUCCUACCCAGCAUGGUAGAAGUGAACAUGCACGAGCAAGAGUUAGAGCACGCAGAGCCUAACAUCAUGGCGAAGAGUAGCGAUCCUCCUGUUUCUUCCCUUUUCCCACUUUAUUUUGUCUCAUUGAGGACAAUGCUUUGUUUAAGUGUUGGAGGGAAUCCUUGUCUUUCCUUUAUUUUUUUUCUAUUUUUUUCCAUAAAACAAAAAAUUUGUCUUUCGUUUAUUUGUUCGUAGCUAAUCGUUCAUUUAUUUCUAUCUAAUUUUCCAUAACAAUUUUU
rnacentral:lncRNA from 1 species